GCCAGCCAGCUAGACAGCAUCCAUUAUCGUGUGCCAGAAAGAGCCGUAGCAAACAUUUAACGAAUUUCAUAGACGACGGUUGUGUGCAGUGUUGUAAGAUAAUCGACUUCUUUGGAUAACACACAGAAUAUAACAAAAAAAAAUAAAGCAAAAAAAAAAAAAACAUCUAGAAAAAAUUGUAUAUUCCCCAUAAUUUUUGAGUGUGGAGAGAAGAAAUCAAAUCAAAUCACAUAGCAUGAAAACCAAUUUCAAUUUUUAAUAACAAAAAAAGAAAAAAAAAGAAAUCGAUCCAUAAACGCGACACGGCAAAAUUUCCAUUCCAAAAAAUAAAAAAAAUAUCAUCUGAAAAAAUAAAAUGUCUAAAGAAAUAAUUUAUUAAAACCACAAGUAGAAAAAAACGAAACGAAAAAAAUAAGAAAACUGCUACGAAAACCGAACCGAACGACCGAUAUCCUAGCAAAAAUUCAGCGAGUUGAAAGGUAGAACAAAAUAUUGCAUUUCGUAUCGCGGCUUAGAAAGAUAACCACAAAAAUACCGACAAAAACAACAGCAGCAACAAAAAGAAGUAAAAAAAAUCACUGAAAACUAAAACUUCGACAAUUUCGAAAUAGGAAAAACAAAACCCAACCCAAACUGAAACUAAAACUUACACUCACUCAUCACUAAUUAAACGGAAACCCCAAGAAAACCCUCAGAAGUAAAAACAACAACAAAAAUCAAGAAAACUAAACGAAAAAUAGAACGAGAACGUAGCAAAAAAAAAAAAAGAGAGAAACCCGCUAAACUAAAUUAUCCAACUUCUAAAGUGUUUCGUUUAAAUAUACCUCAAGUCAUCCCAACAACUGAUAUUUACUAAUACUCACUCACGCCCGUACUCGCCAAGUCACUUGCAAACGAUAACAAACCAGAAGACGAAAGGAGAAGCAACAACAACAACAGCAGUAG